rnacentral:lncRNA from 1 species
GUGCUAAUGAGACAGAAAAGGGCACUGAAAGAUCCGGUCACCCAGGGACCUCUCAAUUGCUCAGAUUUGGAGAAGGUGGGGAGAGAAGAUUGCGUCAAACAGACCUGAGAUCCGAUCCCAGCUCAGUCAUUUCCAGCUGUGUGACCUUGGCAAUGGAUGGCGCCUCUCCUUCCAUCCUCUACAGAAGGAGGAAGAGAUGUUUAAAGUGGAAAUAAGAGAAUUGGAGUUCUGAAAAUGUGAGAAUCAAAUCUACAGCCCCAUUUGUUCAGUGACUUCCUAUCUCCACCCCGUGAAGUUCACCAGAGGCACCGAGGGAACUUGCCCAGAUGGUUGUGGUGGCAUUGUCCCUGGUGUGUGAGGAAUUUUGGAGAAUACAAGAGGUGUAAAACUACUGUAGAUGAAAAUAGGAGGUUCUAAUCUUUAAGAAGAGGGAAAGAUAUUUUCAAAAUUCUGGGGUUUCAUUACCACAACUGUUGUGGAAGGUUAGAGAAAAAAAGAGGGACCAUCAGGAGCUAGAUGGGGUUCACUAAUUAAUCCCCGACUACUCAAGUGAGAAUGGGCAUCACCUGGGAGACUGUCAGAACGUCAAGAGGAUCCCACUCCACUCCGCACCUGUGAAUCACAGUUUGCACUUAACAAGAGGCAUAGAUGAGUCAAAUGUACAUUCAAGACCAAGAUGCACACCAUAACCUGUUCGUUUUUGUUUGUUUGUUUGUUUGUUUUUGAGACGGUCUUGCUCUGUCACCCAGGCUGGAGUGCAAUGGCGCGAUCUCAGCUCACUGCAACCUCUGUCUCCCGGGUUCAAGCGAUUGUCCUGCCUCCACUUCGUGAGUAACUGGAAUUACAGGGGUGCAUCACCAUGCCUGGCUAAUUUUUGUAUUUUUAGUAGAGACAAGAUUUCACCAUGUUGAGGCUAGUCCCGAACUCCUGAGCUCGUGAUCUGCCCUCCUCAGCCUCCCAAAGGGCUGGGAUUACAGGUGUGAGCCACUGUGCCCAGCCCGUAACCUGUUCUUCAACCCUAUAAGUAGGUGAGUGAUUGUAAAGGUGCCAUGGAAAGCUAAAAGUUCCUUCAGGAACCUCUUCCUCCAGGAGAGGAUUGGAGGGGCACUGUGCAGGGCGGGGUUCUGCCUCCUUUGCCCCAUGGUUUCGUUCACUUGUUUUACACAGUGGGCUUCCAACUAAACUUUCCUUUGAAGAGCCGGG